rnacentral:lncRNA from 1 species
GGGAACUAGAACAAUUAAGUGUAUAUGUAAUGCAAAUUAGUUAGACUAUAAAGACAGUUUGUAAAAACAAAAAUAAUAAUAAUAAAAAAUUUGUGUGAUUGUGAUGGCCUAGUGAUGAACAUUUAGUUAAUAUAGAGAAAACAUGUGGGACGAUAGCAAAGUGAAACAAUACUUGUGACGACUAAAACGAAGCACAUACUUCGAUUUCCACCAUGUAUCUAGUUUGUUUCCAUUGUACUUGGUAAUAGCUAUAUAAAUGGAUAUAAGACAUCAUCUUCCUUCCAUUAACAAAAUUAAUUAACAGAACCAGAAGCUAAU